rnacentral:lncRNA from 1 species
AGGGAUCAUGGGGUAUUUAUAAUGAUGUUGAAUGGGUAGAUAUUCUCAGUGAUCAGUUGAUUUGACUAAUUAUGUGGUGUGUAUAAUAUUUAAAUGUAGUGCUUAUAUAUGUCAAAUAGUUUUUAUUCUAUGCCUCCUAGCUCUAGAGUGGGCCAGCAUGUUCUUUUUGUACAAAUAAAUAUAAUGGGGUUGAUAUUAAUAAUUUGAACUUCACUUUGAUACAUGUCUCUUUUGAUAUUCACC